AGCUGAGAUCUCCCGACAGAGCUGGAAAUGGUGAUGAAUCAUUUUUAAUCAAAGGACAAUUUCUUUUGAAUCAGAUCAUUUGCAGAAAGAGUUCAGUGACUUGCAAAUGAGCACAUCCAGUACACUGUAGUAUGUGUCUUGGGCACAGGUUGCAGCAGCAACAUGGACUAACUGCUUGGAGCUUCAAAUAAGUUAAGAAUUUAAUGGCAGAUACUCAAAGGAAUCAUUGUAUUAUGGCCGUAAUCUUUUGUUUUACGGCAUUGCACCUUGACUAUGGAAACAGAGGCUAUUGAUGGCUAUAUAACAUGUGACAAUGAGCUUUCACCUGAAAGAGAGCACUCCGAUAUGGCAAUUGAUCUCACCUGAAGCACACCCAAUGGACAGCAUGCCUCAACAAGUCACAUGACA